CCCAAACGACAGUCUUAGUUCGGAGUUGUAGGCUGCAACUCGCCUACAUGAAGUCGGAAUUGCUAGUAAUCGCGGAUCAGCAUGCCGCGGUGAAUACGUUCCCGGGCCUUGUACACACCGCCCGUCACACCAUGGGAGUCGGUAACACCCGAAGCCUGUAGUCUAACCGCAAGGAGGACGCAGUCGAAGGUGGGAUUGAUGACUGGGGGUGAAGUCGUAACAAGGUAUC
rnacentral:rRNA from 1 species